rnacentral:rRNA from 1 species
GCUCAGGAUGAACGCUAGCGGCAGGCCUAACACAUGCAAGUCGAGGGGCAGCACGGGUAGCAAUACUUGGUGGCGACCGGCGCACGGGUGAGUAACGCGUAUGCAACCUACCUUUUACCGGGGGAUAGCUCAGUGAAAACUGGAUUAAUACCCCAUAACACAGGGAUACCGCAUGGUAAUAUUUGUUAAAGCUCCGGCGGUAAAAGAUGGGCAUGCGUGACAUUAGCUAGUUGGUAGGGUAACGGCCUACCAAGGCGACGAUGUCUAAGGGGUCUGAGAGGAUGAUCCCUCACACUGGUACUGAGACACGGACCAGACUCCUACGGGAGGCAGCAGUGAGGAAUAUUGGUCAAUGGGGGCAACCCUGAACCAGCCAUGCCGCGUGAAGGAAGAAGGUUCUAAGAAUUGUAAACUUCUUUUGUACGGGGGUAAUUUCAGAUACGUGUAUUUGAUUGAAAGUACUGUACGAAUAAGCAUCGGCUAACUCCGUGCCAGCAGCCGCGGUAAUACGGAGGAUGCAAGCGUUAUCCGGAUUUAUUGGGUUUAAAGGGUGCGUAGGCGGACUUAUAAGUCAGCGGUGAAAGACUGUCGCUCAACGAUAGCAUUGCCGUUGAUACUGUAGAUCUUGAGUACAUUUGAGGUGGGCGGAAUGUGUAGUGUAGCGGUGAAAUGCUUAGAUAUUACACAGAACACCAAUUGCGAAGGCAGCUCACUAAACUGUAACUGACGCUGAGGCACGAAAGCGUGGGGAUCAAACAGGAUUAGAUACCCUGGUAGUCCACGCCGUAAACUAUGAUCACUGGAUGUAUGUGAUAUACAAUAUGCGUCUGAGUAAAAGCAUUAAGUGAUCCACCUGGGGAGUACGUCGGCAACGAUGAAACUCAAAG